GAUGAACGCUGGCGGCGUGCCUAAUACAUGCAAGUCGAGCGAACGGACGAGAAGCUUGCUUCUCUGAUGUUAGCGGCUGACGGGUGAGUAACACGUGGAUAACCUACCUAUAAGACUGGGAUAACUUCGGGAAACCGGAGCUAAUACCGGAUAAUAUUUUGAACCGCAUGGUUCAAAAGUGAAAGACGGUCUUGCUGUCACUUAUAGAUGGAUCCGCGCUGCAUUAGCUAGUUGGUAAGGUAACGGCUUACCAAGGCAACGAUGCAUAGCCGACCUGAGAGGGUGAUCGGCCACACUGGAACUGAGACACGGUCCAGACUCCUACGGGAGGCAGCAGUAGGGAAUAUUCCGCAAUGGGCGAAAGCCUGACGUAGCAACGCCGCGUGAGUGAUGAAGGUCUUCGGAUCGUAAAACUCUGUUAUUAGGGAAGAAAAUAUGUGGAAGUAAAUGUGCACAUCUUGACGGUACCUAAUCAGAAAGCCACGGCUAACUACGUG
rnacentral:rRNA from 1 species